rnacentral:rRNA from 1 species
CCAGUAGUCAUAUGCUUGUCUCAAAGAUUAAGCCAUGCAUGUCUAAGUCCAAGCUGUGUUCACACGGCGAGACCGCGGACGGCUCAUUAAAUCAGUCGUGGUCCAAAUGGGCCAGUGCAAAUCCUACUUGGAUAACUGUGGUAAUUCCAGAGCUAAUACAUGCAACUGAUAUCCCGAAGGCGGUGUUGGGGCUUGCUUGCCUUGCGCUGCGCUGCUCUGACGGAUGCUUUUAUUAGACCAAGCCGCUGAGGACUUGAGGGUUCGCGCUCUCUUGUUUGACUCGUGUGAUGGUGACUCUGGAUAACCAAAUUCUGACAAGCGCACGUACUUCUCUUCUGAGCGAGACGGCGCUGCCACUUUCGAGUGUCUGCCUUAUCAGCUAUCAACCGUUCGUUAUGCGCGACCGAUGGCUUUGACGGGUAACGGGGAAUCAGGGUUCGAUUCCGGAGAGGCAGCCUGAGAGACGGCUACCACGUCCAAGGACGGCAGCAGGCACGCAAAUUACCCAAUCCCAGCAAAUGGGGGAGGUAGUGACGAAAUCUAACGAUGCGGGCGCCCUUUCUGGGGCCCCGCAAUCGGAAUGGGCACUUUCUAAACAACCUGUUGAGAACCUACUGA